GAUGAACGCUGGCGGCGUGCCUAAUACAUGCAAGUCGAGCGAACAGACGAGGAGCUUGCUCCUCUGACGUUAGCGGCGGACGGGUGAGUAACACGUGGAUAACCUACCUAUAAGACUGGGAUAACUUCGGGAAACCGGAGCUAAUACCGGUUAACAUGUUGAACCGCAUGGUUCAACAGUGAAAGACGGUCUUGCUGUCACUUAUAGAUGGAUCCGCGCCGCAUUAGCUAGUUGGUAAGGUAACGGCUUACCAAGGCAACGAUGCGUAGCCGACCUGAGAGGGUGAUCGGCCACACUGGAACUGAGACACGGUCCAGACUCCUACGGGAGGCAGCAGUAGGGAAUCUUCCGCAAUGGGCGAAAGCCUGACGGAGCAACGCCGCGUGAGUGAAGAAGGUCUUCGGAUCGUAAAACUCUGUUAUUAGGGAAGAACAAAUGUGUAAGUAACUAUGCACGUCUUGACGGUACCUAAUCAGAAAGCCACGGCUAACUACGUG
rnacentral:rRNA from 1 species